GACGAACGCUGGCGGCGUGCUUAACACAUGCAAGUCGAACGGAAAGGCCCUGCUUUUGUGGGGUGCUCGAGUGGCGAACGGGUGAGUAACACGUGAGUAACCUGCCCUUGACUUUGGGAUAACUUCAGGAAACUGGGGCUAAUACCGGAUAGGAGCUCCUGCUGCAUGGUGGGGGUUGGAAAGUUUCGGCGGUUGGGGAUGGACUCGCGGCUUAUCAGCUUGUUGGUGGGGUAGUGGCUUACCAAGGCUUUGACGGGUAGCCGGCCUGAGAGGGUGACCGGCCACAUUGGGACUGGGAUACGGCCCAGACUCCUACGGGAGGCAGCAGUGGGGAAUAUUGUACAAUGGGCGGAAGCCUGAUGCAGCAACGCCGCGUGCGGGAUGACGGCCUUCGGGUUGUAAACCGCUUUCGCCUGUGACGAAGCGUGAGUGACGGUAAUGGGUAAAGAAGCACCGGCUAACUACGUG
rnacentral:rRNA from 1 species